AAACGACUCUCGGCAACGGAUAUCUCGGCUCACGCAUCGAUGAAGAACGUAGCAAAAUGCGAUACUUGGUGUGAAUUGCAGAAUCCCGUGAACCAUCGAGUUUUUGAACGCAAGUUGCGCCCGAAGCCAUUCGGCCGAGGGCACGUCUGCCUGGGCGUCACGCUU
rnacentral:rRNA from 1 species